CGAGCGGGGCGCCGAGAGCGGCUCCAGCGCAGAGCAGAGGAGCUCCCUCGGAGCGCUUUCAUCGCCGAGCAGAGGAGCUCGGAGUGGUUCCAUCGCGGAUAGGAGGGGCCCGGAGCGGCUCCAUGGCCGGGCGGAGCCCCCGGGAGGGCCCAGGCGGGCGCUGAGGGUCCCCGCAGCCUGAGGGGCCCGGCCUGGUGAGCGCCGCCCUCCCGGGACACCGCGGGGUCGGGGCCGCUUUUCUCCUGUUUCAGCUCGGUGCUGUCGCUGGGACUCGCCGCGUUCAGGUGCGGAUCCCUCUCGCUGUGACUCGCAGGUUUCGGGUUUGGAUCCCUCUCGCUGUGACUCGCAGCGUUCAGGUGCGGAUCCCUUUCCCAGCCCCUCGUGCAGGGACGGCACUCAUCGAUGGCCGUGGCCGGAGCUGCCGGGACAGGUCGGGCUGUGCGGUACAGAACAGUCUGUUCAAUCCAGCCUGCAGAUGGAAAUCCAUCAGUAAAUGAACAUUUCCUCCGUGCUGCUGCCAGUUUGCACCUUUUCCUUUGUGCCGCAGGGGGACAGGGCAGCGGUGCUGCAGCAUUUUAAGGAAUUGGUGGUACCCUGGAGCACAAAAAGCAGCUCUGCUGAGUGCACUGCAUGAACCCGACAGCCGCUUUUCAGAGAAACACGAUCCCCUCGUGGAGGACGUGCAACAACUGAAGCCAGGAGUGAGUGAGUUACAGGAGCUGCAUUGGCUCUUCAGGAGGAGGAGUCCCUGCUGCUCUUCCUGGAGAAGAUGAACGAGCUGCAGCUGUGGCUCCACCUGAACCUGUGGAGAUCCAUCCUGGGAUGGAGAAGGUGCUGCAGGACACGUGGUCUGCAGCUGAAAUGGGGCAGGUGCACAGGAUCCACACCCCAGAGCACACCUGGCUGUCAAAUUCAAACAGCAGCAUCUGCACUCUGGGCUCCUCUGCUGAUCCUGAUUUCCCUUGUGUUGUUAUGGCAUGAGGAACUCUCAUCUGGCACCAUCCCAGCUCCUCUGGCACACCUCUGGAAUUCCUGCUGUGCAUUCAUCAGGCCAGAGUGCAGGAGCUAUGCAGGAAAACCCUUCCUGACUACCUGCAUUAGACUGAAAACCUCACGCAGCAAUCCAGCAUGAUUUUAUUAUUUUCAAUUUCUACUUAAACGCUGGGUUGUUAAAGCUCUACACUUGUUCUGUUUCUGUAUCCUUCCUUUUCUGUAUUGCAUGGAUUUCCUGUGAACUAAAGUCCUGAUCCACUUCAGGUGAGGAGAGGUGAGCUUUGCCUUGAUCCAGAUCUGGGGAGUUCAGUCCUUAACGUCCUCCUGGAAUUCUCUGCCCAAGUUCUGCCCUGCUGAGCUUCCCCUGCUGGAAUUCUCUGCCAAACACCAGUUUGUAUUGCUGAGCUUCUCCCAUAGUUCUUGGCACUUUUGCAUUAUUUUGCAGUAAAUGACACUGAUUCCUUAAAUUCCAUUCCUGCUGUCUGUGUUUUUGGUGCUGCCCCUGCCCAACCUGAUGCAUUCUCUCUUUUCAUCAGUUUACAUCUCCCUGUCUCCAUUUUUACAUGACAUUCAAAAUCUGGAAUUUAUCAAUGCUGGGUUUAUAUAAACAAGAUAAAAUGUUUACAAAAUUUAUUGAAAAUUUACAGAACAAAACCAAGUCUAUGAUACAAAAUGAGAUCAGAUAACAACAAACAGCAGCCAUGGGCUGGAAGUUGCUUCCUCCUCAUCUGUCAGCUACACUGCACGCAGGGAGACCAAGUUCCUCCAGUCCUUUCAGAGCCAGGAUUUUGGGGUUGGUGGCCACGCUUUUGGUGGUGUUCUGGGUUUUAUAAAUGCCAAUUAACCUGUCUGCAAUCUCAAACAUGUUGUUGCGCAGGCUGAUGAUGAUGAACUGGGCGUUUUUGGUUUGUUC